AAAAAUUGACAUGAAUAUGGGGCUUAAGUUGAACCUAAUGUAUAAUCUUAUUACUACUAAAUAUUUAAAAUGUAAUAUAUUAACAAUUAAUUAAGGUAAUGUUUCUGUUUGUAGCCCUCACCAUGUUCCCAACAUAGGAUAACAUUUUUUUUUAUAUUAAAAAUAUGUCUAGAUAAAUAAAUUAAAAUAUUACAAAUAAGGUGUCAUAAAAUCAGCUUAUCUUUACAACUUAUAAACUUAACAAAUAAUUACAAACUCAGUCCCUCUUAUUAUAAAACGCGGUAUCAAAUAAGUAUCGGCUUUUGUACUACCUUUAAUCCACCUUUAAGUACGACCUUGAAAAAACGUUAUUACAAAACGCAGUUUAUCGCAAGUCCUAUUACUAUCUGUAGUACAAAAGAUAAACCAUCGAGCCCCCUAGUUUAACUGCAGUACCACUGACCUCUAUAUUUACACACUGGACCGGCUGUUCCGUACGAAAACAGCAAUUUUUUUGUGCCCAUUUGAAGCGCCAAUAUCGUCUAAGCGAGUGUCCACAGAACUAAUUUUGACGUAUAAUUUCAAAUGGCUGUGAGAGACGUGUUUGUUCAUUGGUUCACUGUAAAAUAAUUUUAGUACCACGAACACUCGCUACGUCUAACAGCGCCAAAAUGGCGAUUAUCAAACGGGCACAAAAGCACGUUGACAACAGCCUGUCCAGUGUGUAAAUAUAGAGGUCAGUGUGCAGUACUUAGUCGACAAACGUCAAAUUCCGACAUUAUUUACUUUUGAGGUUAUUUGUUUUGUGAUGAAAAAAACGAAAGUGGAUAUAAAUAUGUGUGAUUUGGAAUACUUGGAUGUGUUAGAAUACUAUUGAGAGUGUCCGGGGACCCAACAGAAUGCGUCAUCGACAAAAUCUCUUCAAAUUACCUGACGACAAUUUUCGAUAUAAAUAUCGAUUUACGUUUUUCGAAAUAAUAGUCAAUUGAAUGCAUGAUGAUAAUCCAGGAUGAUCCUAUGAUGCUCAACUGGGCUCGCCAUAAAAUUCAAGACUAUUUUGGCGUUUUGCACGCCGUAUCUCUGCCAGUAAUAUGCAAUGUUUGUAAAAGACUGGAAGCUUGCUAAAAUGUACAAAAAUGCCUAGAUGAGAAAGGGAACAAGAUUGUGUGAUGAAGAACAGUGUCCAACAUGUAGCAGUGCAUUUGACUGUAUAAAUAGACACCGGAAUAAAAUAUAAUUUUCUACUUUUAUGUUG
rnacentral:lncRNA from 1 species